rnacentral:rRNA from 1 species
UACGGAGGGUGCAAGCAUUGAUCGGAAUUACUGGGCGUAAAGGGCGCGUAGGCGGACCGGAAAGUCAAAUGUGAAAUUCCACGGCUCAACCGUGGAGCUGCAUUUGAAACUUCCAGUCUUGAGCAUAGUUAGGGAAAACGGAAUUCCACGUGUAGCGGUGAAAUGCGUAGAUAUGUGGAAGAACACCAGUGGUGAAGACGGUUUUCUGGGCUAUUGCUGACGCUGAGGCGCGAAAGCUAGGGGAGCAAACAGG